rnacentral:lncRNA from 1 species
ACGGAGGAGAAAAGAGGUUAAGGAGCAGUGACUAAGAGAGGCCACUGAACAUCUUCGUCCUCAGAGAGCUGCCUUUCCGCGACAGGGGUCCCUCCAAUCUUGUUUGCCUCUGCAGAGCCUCAGCCACCUGGAAGAUGCCGAGAUUCUGCUACAGUCGCUCAGGGGCCCUGCUGCUGGCCCUCCUGCUUCAGACCUCCAUAGACGUGUGGAGCUGGUGCCUGGAGAGCAGCCAGUGCCAGGACCUCACCACGGAAAGCAACCUGCUGGCUUGCAUCCGGGCCUGCAGACUCGACCUCUCGGCGGAGACGCCCGUGUUUCCAGGCAACGGAGAUGAACAGCCCUUGACUGAAAAUCCCCGGAAGUACGUCAUGGGUCACUUCCGCUGGG